CAUUCUUUCCCUAAACGCCGCCUUUCCCUCUGGUUUUCUCACCUCUAAAAAUGACUUACUCUGACUACAUGGCCUCCCAGGUGCUUUUCUUCCAUAUAUUCAUC